UACGUAGGGGGCAAGCGUUGUCCGGAAUCAUUGGGCGUAAAGAGCGUGUAGGCGGUCCUGUAAGUCCGCUGUGAAAGUCAAGGGCUCAACCCUUGAAUGCCGGUGGAUACUGCAGGACUAGAGUCCGGAAGAGGCGAGUGGAAUUCCUGGUGUAGCGGUGAAAUGCGCAGAUAUCAGGAGGAACACCUAUUGCGAAGGCAGCUCGCUGGGACGUAACUGACGCUGAGACGCGAAAGCGUGGGGAGCAAACAGG
rnacentral:rRNA from 1 species